CAGUCGCCACGGGAAUACGUAGGGAGCAAGCGUUGUUCGGAUUUACUGGGCGUAAAGGGCGCGUAGGCGGCGCGGUAAGUCACUUGUGAAAUCUCUGAGCUUAACUCAGAACGGCCAAGUGAUACUGCUGUGCUAGAGUGCGGAAGAGGCAACCGGAAUUCUUGGUGUAGCGGUGAAAUGCGUAGAUAUCAAGAGGAACACCUGAGGCGAAGGCGGGUUGCUGGGCCGACACUGACGCUGAUGCGCGAAAGCCAGGGGAGCAAACGGGAUUAGAUACCCCUGUAGUCCCUGUCUCUUAUAC
rnacentral:rRNA from 1 species